GCUGACGAGUGGCGGACGGGUGAGUAAUGUCUGGGAAACUGCCUGAUGGAGGGGGAUAACUACUGGAAACGGUGGCUAAUACCGCAUAACGUCGCAAGACCAAAGAGGGGGACCUUCGGGCCUCUUGCCAUCAGAUGUGCCCAGAUGGGAUUAGCUUGUUGGUGAGGUAACGGCUCACCAAGGCGACGAUCCCUAGCUGGUCUGAGAGGAUGACCAGCCACACUGGAACUGAGACACGGUCCAGACUCCUACGGGAGGCAGCAGUGGGGAAUAUUGCACAAUGGGCGCAAGCCUGAUGCAGCCAUGCCGCGUGUAUGAAGAAGGCCUUCGGGUUGUAAAGUACUUUCAGCGGGGAGGAAGGUGUUGUGGUUAAUAACCGCAGCAAUUGACGUUACCCGCAGAAGAAGCACCGGCUAACUCCGUGCCAGCAGCCGCGGUAAUACGGAGGGUGCAAGCGUUAAUCGGAAUUACUGGGCGUAAAGCGCACGCAGGCGGUCUGUCAAGUCGGAUGUGAAAUCCCCGGGCUCAACCUGGGAACUGCAUUCGAAACUGGCAGGCUUGAGUCUUGUAGAGGGGGGUAGAAUUCCAGGUGUAGCGGUGAAAUGCGUAGAGAUCUGGAGGAAUACCGGUGGCGAAGGCGGCCCCCUGGACAAAGACUGACGCUCAGGUGCGAAAGCGUGGGGAGCAAACAGGAUUAGAUACCCUGGUAGUCCACGCCGUAAACGAUGUCUACUUGGAGGUUGUGCCCUUGAGGCGUGGCUUCCGGAGCUAACGCGUUAAGUAGACCGCCUGGGGAGUACGGCCGCAAGGUUAAAACUCAAAUGAAUUGACGGGGGCCCGCACAAGCGGUGGAGCAUGUGGUUUAAUUCGAUGCAACGCGAAGAACCUUACCUGGUCUUGACAUCCACAGAAGAAUCCAGAGAUGGAUUUGUGCCUUCGGGAACUGUGAGACAGGUGCUGCAUGGCUGUCGUCAGCUCGUGUUGUGAAAUGUUGGGUUAAGUCCCGCAACGAGCGCAACCCUUAUCCUUUGUUGCCAGCGGUUAGGCCGGGAACUCAAAGGAGACUGCCAGUGAUAAACUGGAGGAAGGUGGGGAUGACGUCAAGUCAUCAUGGCCCUUACGACCAGGGCUACACACGUGCUACAAUGGCGCAUACAAAGAGAAGCGACCUCGCGAGAGCAAGCGGACCUCAUAAAGUGCGUCGUAGUCCGGAUUGGAGUCUGCAACUCGACUCCAUGAAGUCGGAAUCGCUAGUAAUCGUGGAUCAGAAUGCCACGGUGAAUACGUUCCCGGGCCUUGUACACACCGCCCGUCACACCAUGGGAGUGGGUUGCAAAAGAAGUAGGUAGCUUAACCUUCGGGAGGGCGCUUACCACUUUGUGAUUCAUGACUGGGGUGAAGUCGUAACAAGGUAACCGUAGGGGAACCUGCGGUUGGAUCACCUCCUUACCUUAAAGAAGC
rnacentral:rRNA from 6 species